rnacentral:ncRNA from 1 species
GAGAGCCCAGUGACGGGUAACUGUCUCGCUGGGUUCGGAGAGCACUCGUGGAAUUAGAUCUAGACUGGAAAUUAAAUACAGUGAUCUAAAACUUUCGUUUUACUCUAU